UACGUAGGAUGCAAGCGUUGUCCGGAAUCAUUGGGCGUAAAGAGCGCGCAGGCGGUCUGCCAAGUCAGAUGUGAAAUAUCCCGGCUUAACCGGGAGGGGUCAUUUGAAACUGGUAGACUAGAGUACAGCAGAGGAUAGCGGAAUUCCCGGUGUAGUGGUGAAAUGCGUAGAUAUCGGGAGGAACACCAGUGGCGAAGGCGGCUAUCUGGGCUGAAACUGACGCUGAGGCGCGAAGGCUAGGGGAGCAAACAGGA
rnacentral:rRNA from 1 species